CUUUGUCCCCAUUCGAAAGAUGCUAGCUUUGCUCAUGAGAGAGUUGUUUCUGCUUAACUGUUGUUUGUAUUAUGUGACUUGUCCUCUGAAAAUGCGCGGGCGGGCGGAGGAAACGGUAAAACCUCCACAUUUUUUUUUUUUUUUUUGCUGCAAUAAGAUGAUUUUGAUAGAGGAAAGAUGAUGAUGUUUUUUUGGACUUUGUGUGAUGAUUUCGGUUGGUGGGUUUUUUUUGCUAGUGGAAGGUGCUUAUUGUUAAGGCCAAAGGUUGGCUUCUAAGACAAGGCUUAAUCAUUUAAAAGAAGCUCAAAGGGGCCAACCCAAAUCUUUUUCUGUUCUCUCUCUCUCUAUCUCUCUAUCUCUCUCUGCGUGCCUGCAAGUAUUUUUUGAAGACAGUUGAAAAAACCCGACUCACCAAAUCAAGCUUUCAAAGCAAAACUUGUUCUGAAUUGGUGGGAACAUGUACAUGCGCAUGUACAUACAUGCAUGCAUGCUGUCAAGGACUCAUUAAAUAAAAAUCUUCAAGUGGUGUAGUUGGUAGAAUGGAAGGAAUUGAAUUGAAGGGUGUGUCUGUGUGGAGGGAAGUCUUUGAAAAGUGCUUUUUUGACCAUCUGGGGUAAAUAGAAAUGUGCUUUUUUUGACCUCUGCUUACUAGCUGAUCAGCCUCACAGAGGCACCAGUUUACUUGAUUUGCUUGCUCCUUCACCACCAUGGCAACCAUGCGGUUGCUGCUCUUUCUGGCUUUCUGCUCUGCUGGGAUUCAUAUGAUCUUUUCUGAAACAGACCCCGGUGAUGGUAUGGUCUCAAAUCUAAAUGUUUAUUUGUCCAUUAUUGAUUUCCUAGUUAAUGGGAAAUUGGGGUUUUGGUAGUUUGAGCUUUGGCCUGGAUAUGCGUUGACUUAGGAAAGACUUUGCAAUAUCAUGUUGAUCCUCCUGUUUCUCAUGUUUUUGCAUGCAAACUUGGUAAUUAGUCAUUUUAGUUGGUGUUUAAUGCAAGCUUUUCUUAAUGUUUUGGCUAAAUUUUGAUUGUAAGUUGAAUAUCCUGCACAUAGGUGUGUACAAACUUUGUGUUAAGGUAGUAGAUUGAUUUGUAAGUCUGUUGGUCCAGCUGCUGUUUUCAUAUCCUUGAAGGGGGCAUGGACGAAUCUUCCACCCAGCUGGAACGACAAGUCAAAUGAUCCCUGUGGAAUGAACUGGGAAGGAGUCACCUGCAACAAUUCGAGGGUGACCGCAUUGUGAGCAUUGUUCAUCUUUGAAUUUUCAUGGGAUCCUUGUAGUUCUGGGCAUUGGUGACUUACUUUCUUACACAAAUUUUCAACCUUGCACUUUUUUAUGUGCAGGGGAUUAUCAGCAAUGGACUUGAAAGGACAAAUUGAAGGCGAUAUCGGGGGACUCUCUGAAUUAAUAUCCUUGUGAGUAUAAUUGCUCCUCUUUGUACCAGCAUUAUGUUUGCAGCACAUUAUGAAUUGAACCCAGAUGCAAUGCAACAGAUUCAGUAUGUAAACAUAUGCAUAAAACAUAUUUCUUUUGCAGUAUCAAUUAUUUUGUUAUCACUCAAUCUUUGAUUAGCAUGGCAUCCUUUUUGUAACGAAGUAGAAACGUUAACAUUGCAGGGACCUUUCAUUCAACAAAGGCCUCACGGGUUCUCUGUCUCCACGAUUAGGAGAUCUGAGCAAGUUAAAUAUCCUG
rnacentral:lncRNA from 1 species